UACGUAGGGGGCAAGCGUUGUCCGGAAUCAUUGGGCGUAAAGAGCGUGUAGGCGGCCCGAUAAGUCCGCUGUGAAAGUCCAGGGCUCAACCCUGGGAUGCCGGUGGAUACUGUCGGGCUCGAGUCCGGAAGAGGCGAGUGGAAUUCCUGGUGUAGCGGUGAAAUGCGCAGAUAUCAGGAGGAACACCAAUGGCGAAGGCAGCUCGCUGGGACGUGACUGACGCUGAGACGCGAAAGCGUGGGGAGCAAACAGGG
rnacentral:rRNA from 1 species